GGAUGUGAGGGCGAUCUGGCUGCGACAUCUGUCACCCCAUUGAUCGUCAGGGUUGAUUCGGCUGAUCUGACUGGCUAGGCGGGUGUCCCCUUCCUCCCUCACCGCUCCACGUGUGUCCCUCCUGAAGCUGCGCGCUGGGUCGAAGAGGACGACCUUCCCUAAUAGAGGCGUACCGUUCAUUGGUCCAAGGGUAUACGGUAGCUGCGCUCCCCUGCUAGAACCUCCAAACAAGCUCAAGGUCCAUUUGUAGGAGAAAGUAGGAUAGUCAGGCUUUCAAAACUGCAGACACAUCCAAGUGAGGCACUGCAUGGGGCAAUCUGCCAUUGUUU
rnacentral:snRNA from 1 species